rnacentral:rRNA from 1 species
CACGUAGGCACCAAGCGUUGUCCGGAUUUAUUGGGCGUAAAGAGCUCGUAGGCGGUUCAGUAAGUCGGGUGUGAAAACUUUGGGCUUAACCCAAAGCGUGCAUCCGAUACUGCUGUGACUUGAGUUCGGUAGGGGAGUGGGGAAUUCCUAGUGUAGCGGUGAAAUGCGCAGAUAUUAGGAGGAACACCGGUGGCGAAGGCGCCACUCUGGGCCGAAACUGACGCUGAGGAGCGAAAAGCAUGGGUAGCAAACAGGG